UACGUAGGUGGCAAGCGUUGUCCGGAAUUAUUGGGCGUAAAGCGCGCGCAGGCGGUCUUUUAAGUCUGAUGUGAAAGCCCCCGGCUCAACCGGGGAGGGUCAUUGGAAACUGGGAGACUUGAGUGCAGAAGAGAAGAGCGGAAUUCCACGUGUAGCGGUGAAAUGCGUAGAGAUGUGGAGGAACACCAGUGGCGAAGGCGGCUCUUUGGUCUGUAACUGACGCUGAGGCGCGAAAGCGUGGGGAGCAAACGGG
rnacentral:rRNA from 1 species